ACCAUACAUGUCCCUAAUGGGACGGUUUUCUUUAACCGUUGCAAUAGUUUUAAUAUGGCAACAGUUUUGUUUCUAUUGCAACGAUUUUAAAUUCCCUCCCAAAUUUUUCUUAUUUUCACUGUAGACCCGCCUAACACAGAGACCACAUUAUUUUUCCUUUUAGCCAAAAAUCGUAAAAUCUGUAUUGAACCAAAUUAAACACUGAACUCUCUCUCUCUCUCUACUAAAUUCAUCACCCACUUCACUCUAUCUCUCUCUACUAAUUUCUACUUCACUUUGCACCCUAAUUAUCAAUGCUCUACUGAAUCUCGUAGCCGGGUUACUCAAUUCCAGCUCGAAGCAUUGUCAACUCUCAAACGCCUCAAUUCGUUGCUCGUCGAAAGGUAUCGAAAAUGAAGAAAGGGAAGGAGACAGUGAAGACGUUGAUCUUACUUGAGAAGAUCUUUUAUGAAGCUUUCUACAUGUUCUAAGAAUCUUUUUGCUAGCGAACAUUUUGAAACUUAUCCUAAAUCUUGAAAUGUAAAACUUAAUUAUGCAUUUUGGGUUGAACAUUUUGGUUUUACGGGUAUAUAUGUUGGAUUAGGAAUGUUGGAUAUUUUGGAUUAUGAAAAAUUGUGUUUUCAGAU